rnacentral:rRNA from 1 species
UACGUAGGGGGCAAGCGUUGUCCGGAUUUACUGGGUGUAAAGGGAGCGUAGACGGCUGUGCAAGUCAGAAGUGAAAGCCCGGGGCUCAACCCCGGGACUGCUUUUGAAACUGCGUGGCUGGAGUGCAGGAGAGGUAAGCGGAAUUCCUGGUGUAGCGGUGAAAUGCGUAGAUAUCAGGAGGAACACCGGUGGCGAAGGCGGCUUACUGGACUGUAACUGACGUUGAGGCUCGAAAGCAUGGGUAGCGAACA